rnacentral:rRNA from 1 species
GGAGUCACGCCAGAAAUCUUACCCGGAGAGACAGCAGAAUGAAGGUCAAGCUGAAGACUUUACCAGACAAGCUGAGAGGUGGUGCAUGGCCGUCGCCAGCUCGUGCCGUGAGAUGUCCUGUUAAGACAGGUAACGAGCGAGAUCCUCGCCACUAGUUGCUAUCAUUAUUCUCAGGAAUAGUGGGGCGAAUUAGUGGGACUGCCGUUGUUAAAACGGAGGAAGGAGGGGGCCACGGCAGGUCAGUAUGCCCCGAAACUCUGGGGCCACACGCGGGCUGCAAUGGUAGCGACAAUGAGCUCCAAACUCGAAAGAGAGUGGCAAUCUCUAAACGCUACCACAGUUAUGACUGAGGGCUGCAACUCGCCCUCACGAAUAUGGAAUCCCUAGUAACUGCGUGUCAUUAUCGCGCGGUGAAUACGUCCCUGCUCCUUGCACACACCGCCCGUCGUUUCAUUGAAGUGAGCUUUUAGUGAUGUGACGUCUGAUUGGCGUUAUUGAACUUGAGGUUCGUGACAAGGGAAAAGUCGUAACAAGGUGACCGUAGGGGAACCUGCGGUCGGAUCA